rnacentral:rRNA from 1 species
AACGAACGCUGGCGGCAUGCCUAACACAUGCAAGUCGAACGAGACCUUCGGGUCUAGUGGCGCACGGGUGCGUAACGCGUGGGAACCUGCCCUUAGGUUCGGAAUAACUCCCCGAAAGGGGUGCUAAUACCGGAUAAUGUCUUCGGACCAAAGAUUUAUCGCCUUUGGAUGGGCCCGCGUUGGAUUAGCUAGUUGGUAGGGUAAAAGCCUACCAAGGCGACGAUCCAUAGCUGGUCUGAGAGGAUGAUCAGCCACACUGGGACUGAGACACGGCCCAGACUCCUACGGGAGGCAGCAGUGGGGGAUAUUGGACAAUGGGCGAAGGCCUGAUCCAGCAAUGCCGCGUGAGUGAUGAAGGCCUUAGGGUUGUAAAGCUCUUUUACCCGGGAUGAUAAUGACAGUACCGGGAGAAUAAGCUCCGGCUAACUCCGUG